rnacentral:rRNA from 2 species
GGACCAAGGAGUCUAGCAUGUGCGCGAGUCGUUGGGACUUGCGAAACCUAAAGGCGAAAUGAAAGUGAAGGCCCGCCCCGCGCGGGCCGAGGGAGGAUGGGCCGCGUCACGACGCGGCCCCGCACUCCCGGGGCGUCUCGUUCUCAUUGCGAGAAGAGGCGCACCCAGAGCGUACACGCUGGGACCCGAAAGAUGGUGAACUAUGCCUGGUCAGGACGAAGUCAGGGGAAACCCUGAUGGAGGUCCGUAGCGAUUCUGACGUGCAAAUCGAUCGUCGGAACUGGGUAUAGGGGCGAAAGACUAAUCGAACCAUCUAGUAGCUGGUUCCCUCCGAAGUUUCCCUCAGGAUAGCUGGCGCUCGCUUUUGCGAGUCUCAUCCGGUAAAGCGAAUGAUUAGAGGCAUUGGGGUCGAAACGGCCUCAACCUAUUCUCAAACUUUAAAUGGGUGAGAUCUCCGGCUUGCUCAAACUUGAAGCCGCGAGAUUAACUUAAUACAAGGAUCAGAGUGCCAAGUGGGCCACUUUUGGUAAGCAGAACUGGCGCUGUGGGAUGAACCAAACGCAGAGUUAAAGCGCCAAAAUCGACGCUUAUGGGAUACCAUGAAAGGCGUU